UCAAAAACAUGGUUUCUUGAUUAUUAUAGGAGAUUUAACCUGCCCACUGAAUAAAUUUUGAAGGGCCGCAGUAUUUUGACUGUGCAAAGGUAGCAUAAUCAUUAGUCUUUUAAAUGGAGGCUGGUAUGAAUGGUUGGACGAGGUAAUAACUGUCUUAUUUAAAUUGUUGUUGAAGUUAGGUUUUAAGUAAAAAAACUUAAAUAUGAUUAAGGGACGAGAAGACCCUAUAGAGUUUAAUAAUCGUAGUUUUAAUUAAGUUAAAUAUAAAUUUUUAAUUAUUAUGUAGUUUAUUUAAUUGGGGUGAUUAGAGGAUAAAAUGAACUUCUCUUUAAAAUAAAUACUUUUAGUAGAAGUAUGAUCCAUAAUUAGUGAUUAUAAGAUUAAAUUACCUUAGGGAUAACAGCAUAAUUCUUUUUGAGAGUUCAGAUCGAAAAAAGAGAUUGUGACCUCGAUGUUGGAUUAAGAUAAAAGCUGGGUGUAGAUGUUUAGUUUUUAAGUCUGUUCGACUUUUAAAAUCUUACAUGAUCUGAGUUC
rnacentral:rRNA from 1 species